rnacentral:rRNA from 1 species
AGGAAGGAAAGCUUGCUUUUCUGAAUCUAGUGGCGAACGGGUGAGUAACACGUAGGUAACCUGCCCAUGUGCCCGGGAUAACUUCUGGAAACGGAUGCUAAAACCGGAUAGGUAGCAGACAAGCAUUUGACUGCUAUUAAAGUGGCCUUGGCCAUGAACAUGGAUGGACCUGCGGUGCAUUAGCUGGUUGGUGAGGUAACGGCCCACCAAGGCGACGAUGCAUAGCCGGCCUGAGAGGGCGGACGGCCACAUUGGGACUGAGACACGGCCCAAACUCCUACGGGAGGCAGCAGUAGGGAAUUUUCGUCAAUGGGGGGAACCCUGAACGAGCAAUGCCGCGUGAGUGAGGAAGGUCUUCGGAUCGUAAAGCUCUGUUGUAAGAGAAAAACGGCACUCAUAGGGAAUGAUGAGUGAGUGAUGGUAUCUUACCAGAAAGUCACGGCUAACUACGCGCCAGCAGCCGCGGUAAUACGUAGGUGGCGAGCGUUAUCCGGAAUGAUUGGGCGUAAAGGGUGCGUAGGUGGCAGAUCAAGUCUGGAGUAAAAGGUAUGGGCUCAACCCGUACUGGCUCUGGAAACUGAUCAGCUAGAGAACAGAAGAGGACGGCGGA